rnacentral:lncRNA from 1 species
CUUUCAGCUGUCGGACGCCGUCGAGACAAGUCUCAACUAGUUUCGCUCCACGUACAUGUAAUCAUUAUCGAUGACGUGAAUGCAUUGAAAUUAGAAGACGUUCACCAUCGUUCCAUGGAAAUUAUACUAAUCAAUGGUGGUAUAUACAACUGCAUACAUACGUGCAAGUGUAUUU